rfam:Camelus ferus unplaced genomic scaffold scaffold757, whole genome shotgun sequence.
GAGGGCUUAGCUCAAGUGGUAGAGCGCAUGCUUAGCAUGCAUGAGGUCCUGGGUUCAAUCCCCAGUACCUCCU